GUCCACAGACCCACCAUUCCUGAACGUGCCUGAUCUUGUCUGAUCUUGGAAGCGCAGGGUAGGGUCUGGUUACUGUUUGGAUGGGAGACUGCUUGGGUAUACCGAGUGCUAUAGGCU
rnacentral:rRNA from 1 species